rnacentral:rRNA from 1 species
UACGUAGGGUGCAAGCGUUGUCCGGAAUUAUUGGGCGUAAAGAGCUCGUAGGCGGUCUGUCGCGUCUGCUGUGAAAAUCCAGGGCUCAACCCUGGACCUGCAGUGGGUACGGGCAGACUAGAGUGCGGUAGGGGAGAUCGGAAUUCCUGGUGUAGCGGUGAAAUGCGCAGAUAUCAGGAGGAACACCGGUGGCGAAGGCGGGUCUCUGGGCCGAUACUGACGCUGAGGAGCGAAAGCGUGGGGAGCAAACAGG